UAUAGCAAACUAAAAAAGGGAAUACGACAAGAAUAUCACCAGUUUUGGAAUACUUGGACCAGUAGGGUUCAAAAAGUACAGAGAAUCACAAGUCUUAGGUCAAUAAUCAUAGCCCAUGUACAACGGGAAUUCAAAUCCAGCCAAUAGGCAUCCUUUUCAGGAAACUAACAUGAAAGAACAAAUGGGACACAUCAAGAUGACAAAUGGUGCCAACUUAACAAGAAGCAAAAAGAAAAACCAAUGUAAAAUAUUUCCAGUAUUCCAGGCUAGAGAAGGAGUCAUCGUAAGGCAAGGCUAAAGGCAAAUGUCAUCCAUUAUAGAUGCAUCUUCAGACAGAAGAUUGGAAAAUGUUACGUCC
rnacentral:lncRNA from 1 species